rnacentral:rRNA from 1 species
GACGAACGCUGGCGGCGUGCUUAACACAUGCAAGUCGAACGGAAAGGCCCUGCUUUUGUGGGGUGCUCGAGUGGCGAACGGGUGAGUAACACGUGAGUAACCUCCCCUUGACUUUGGGAUAACUUCAGGAAACUGGGGCUAAUACCGGAUAGGAGCUCCUGCUGCAUGGUGGGGGUGGGAAAGUUUCGGCGGUUGGGGAUGGACUCGCGGCUUAUCAGCUUGUUGGUGGGGUAGUGGCUUACCAAGGCUUUGACGGGUAGCCGGCCUGAGAGGGUGACCGGCCACAUUGGGACUGAGAUACGGCCCAGACUCCUACGGGAGGCAGCAGUGGGGAAUAUUGCACAAUGGGCGGAAGCCUGAUGCAGCAACGCCGCGUGCGGGAUGACGGCCUUCGGGUUGUAAACCUCUUUCGCCUGUGACGAAGCGUGAGUGACGGUAAUGGGUAAAGAAGCACCGGCUAACUACGUG